rnacentral:lncRNA from 1 species
UUUGUUUGUUUGGAGGGUUACUCACUGGGUCGGGCAAAGGGUUACUUACUUCUAAGCUAUUGGGGUUGUUGUUGUGCACGAACUCAGGCAAAACAUUGGUGCUUGGCCUAGAUAAGAUCUUUGGCCAACUGAGCAUGUUCAAGCACCUCCGCAUAUGAGCUGGGUCUCAGCAUCAGGACCCACUCGUAAAUGUCAGCACGAAAGCCUUUGAGAAACUUCCUAAUUUUUUGGCUUUCAGGGGUGACCAUCAAAGGGGUAAACCUAGAUAGUUGGACAAAACAACUGCAU